UAUUAGGUUGGCGCAAAAGUAAUUGCAAUUUUUGUCAUUAAAAGUAAUGGCAAAAACCACAAUUGCUUUUGCAUCAAACUAAUAA
rnacentral:miRNA from 10 species